GCCAGGGUAGUGUAGCGGUCAGCAUUCGGGACUGUGGAUCCCGCAGCCCGGGUUCGAAUCCCGGCCCUGGCCCCA
rnacentral:tRNA from 1 species